rnacentral:rRNA from 1 species
GUCCACGCCCUAAACGAUGUCAACUGGGUGUUCGGGAAGCGAUUCCUGGGUACCGUAGCUAACGCGAGAAGUUGACCGCCUGGGGAGUACGGCCGCAAGGUUAAACUCAAAGGAAUUGACGGGGACCCGCACAAGCGGUGGAUGAUGUGGAUUAAUUCGAUGCAACGCGAACAACCUUACCUACCCUUGACAUGUCCGGAACCCUGCUGAGAGGUGGGGUGCCCGAAAGGGAAUCGGGAACACAGGUGCUGCAUGGCUGUCGU